CAGUAGCCGCGGUAAUACAGAGGGUGCGAGCGUUAAUCGGAUUUACUGGGCGUAAAGCGUGCGUAGGCGGCUUCUUAAGUCGGAUGUGAAAUCCCUGAGCUUAACUUAGGAAUUGCAUUCGAUACUGGGAAGCUAGAGUAUGGGAGAGGAUGGUAGAAUUCCAGGUGUAGCGGUGAAAUGCGUAGAGAUCUGGAGAAAUACCGAUGGCGAAGGCAGCCAUCUGGCCUAAUACUGACGCUGAGGUACGAAAGCAUGGGGAGCAAACAGGAUUAGAUACCCGGGUAGUCCCUGUCUCUUAUAC
rnacentral:rRNA from 1 species